rnacentral:tRNA from 1 species
CUUUGAUAAGCUAAUAAGGAAGCAUCAAACUCUUAAUUUGAAUUAAAGUGAAAACCCCCUCACUAUCAAAGA